GCCUAGCUGGCUCAGUAGAGCAUGUGACUCUUGAUCUCAGGGUCAUGAGUUCAAUCUACCUGUUGGGCA
rnacentral:tRNA from 1 species